GCUGAGAUAGCUCAGUUGGUAGUGCAUGAGACUCUCAAUUCAAGUUUGUGGGUUUGAGCUCCACGUUGGGCA